rnacentral:rRNA from 1 species
UACAGAGGUCCCAAGCGUUGUUCGGAUUCAUUGGGCGUAAAGGGUGCGUAGGCGGCGCGGUAAGUCGGGUGUGAAAUCUCACAGCUUAACUGUGAAACUGCAUUGGAUACUAUCCGGCUCGAGGAAUGGAGGGGAGACUGGAAUACUUGGUGUAGCAGUGAAAUGCGUAGAUAUCAGGAGGAAUACCGAUGGCGAAGGCAGGUCCCUGGGCCAAUACUGACGCUCAUGCACGAAAGCGUGGGGAGCAAACAGG